rnacentral:lncRNA from 1 species
AGUCUACAUCUUUCACGCAUGCUGGAUGCUGCCUGCCCUCGAACAUCAGACUCCAACUUCUUCAGUUUUGGGACUUGGACUGGCUCUCCUUGCCCCUUGGCUUGUAGACAGCCUAUUGUGAGACCUUGCGAUCAUCCCGCCUUCCCCCAGGUGAAAUAAACAGCCUUGUUGCUCACACAAAGCCUGUUUGGUGGUCUCUUCACAUGGACACGCAUGAAAUUUGGUGCCGUGACUCGGAUCGAGGGACCUCCCUUGGAAGAUCAAUCCCCUGUCCUCCUGCUCUUUGCUCCGUGAAAAAGAUCCACCUAUGACCUCGAGUCCUCAGACCCACCAGCCCAAGGAACAUCUCAUCAAUUUUCAAUCCGGUAUUCUCAACUUUUGAAACCCAUCUGUGUUCAUGAUCUAAGAAGUUAAAGCUCUCCCUGUGGACUAUGCAACAUCACCCCCUGUGGGAUCUUUUCCCUAUAAGAGAAACAUGUAGCUGCAUAAACUGACAAUGCUGACAGAACAGAAAUGGCAUUUGAAGAGGAGAAAAGAACUUCAGUGGUCAGAGACGGAGUCUCCCUCUGUCGCCCAGGCUGGAGUGCAGUGGCACGAUCUCGGCUCAUUGCAACCUCCACUUCCCAGGUUCAAAUGAUUCUCCUGCCUCAGCCUCCCGAGUAGCUGGGAAUACAGGUAUGCUUGGAUCUGUCUUUUGGUCACUUGAAGAUUCCUAACU